AUUGAACGCUGGCGGCAUGCCUUACACAUGCAAGUCGAACGGCAGCAUGAUCUAGCUUGCUCGAUUGAUGGCGAGUGGCGCACGGGUGAGUCAUAUAUCGGAACGUGCUCUGUGGCGGGGGAAAACUAGUCGAAAGAUAACCUAAUACCGCAUACGACCUGAGGGUGAAAGUUGGGGACUGCAAGGCCUCCUUCCUUAGGAUCAUCCGUUGUUUGAUUAGCUAGUUGGUGAGGUAAAGGCUAACCAAGGCGACGAUCAGUAGCUGGUCUGAGAGGACGAUCGGCCACACUGGGACUGAGACACGGCCCAGACUCCUACGGGAGGCAGCAGUAGGGAAUUUUGGGCAAUGGGCGAAAGCCUGAUCCAGCAAUGCCGCGUGUGUGAAGAAGGCCUUCGGAUUGUAAAACACUUUUGUCAGGAAAGAAAUGGCUUUGGUUAAUACCUGGGGUUGAUGACGGUACCGGAAGAGUAAGGACCGGCUAACUACGUG
rnacentral:rRNA from 1 species